GAUGAACGCGGGCGGCGUGCCUAAUACAUGCAAGUCGAACGAGUUCUGAUUAUUGAAAGGUGCUUGCAUCUUGAUUUUAAUUUUGAACGAGUGGCGGACGGGUGAGUAACACGUGGGUAACCUGCCCUUAAGUGGGGGAUAACAUUUGGAAACAGAUGCUAAUACCGCAUAAAUCCAAGAACCGCAUGGUUCUUGGCUGAAAGAUGGCGUAAGCUAUCGCUUUUGGAUGGACCCGCGGCGUAUUAGCUAGUUGGUGAGGUAACGGCUCACCAAGGCAAUGAUACGUAGCCGAACUGAGAGGUUGAUCGGCCACAUUGGGACUGAGACACGGCCCAAACUCCUACGGGAGGCAGCAGUAGGGAAUCUUCCACAAUGGACGCAAGUCUGAUGGAGCAACGCCGCGUGAGUGAAGAAGGCUUUCGGGUCGUAAAACUCUGUUGUUGGAGAAGAAUGGUCGGCAGAGUAACUGUG
rnacentral:rRNA from 2 species